rnacentral:misc_RNA from 1 species
GAUGAAGAACGUAGCGAACUGCGAUAAGUAAUGUGAAUUGCAGAAUUCAGUGAAUCAUCGAGUCUUUGAACGCACAUUGCGCCCCCUGGCAUUCCGGGGGGCAUGCCUGUCCGAGCGUCAUUGCUGCCCUUCAAGCCCGGCUUGUGUGUUGGGUCGUCGUCCCCCCCGGGGGACGGGCCCGAAAGGCAGCGGCGGCACCGCGUCCGGUCCUCGAGCGUAUGGGGCUUUGUCACCCGCUCGAUUAGGGCCGGCCGGGCGCCAGCCGGCGUCUCCAACCUUCUAUUUUACCAGGUUGACCUCGUAUCAGGUAGGGAUACCCGCUGAACUUAAGCAUAUCAAUAAGCGGAGGA